CCUACGGGAGGCAGCAGUGAGGAAUAUUGGUCAAUGGACGAGAGUCUGAACCAGCCAAGUAGCGUGAAGGAUGACUGCCCUAUUGGUUGUAAACUUCUUUUAUAUGGGAAUAAAAUGUUCCACGUGUGGGAUUUUGUAUGUACCAUAUGAAUAAGGAUCGGCUAACUCCGUGCCAGCAGCCGCGGUAAUACGGAGGAUCCGAGCGUUAUCCGGAUUUAUUGGGUUUAAAGGGAGCGUAGGUGGAUUGUUAAGUCAGUUGUGAAAGUUUGCGGCUCAACCGUAAAAUUGCAGUUGAAACUGGCAGUCUUGAGUACAGUAGAGGUGGGCGGAAUUCGUGGUGUAGCGGUGAAAUGCUUAGAUAUCACGAAGAACUCCGAUUGCGAAGGCAGUUCACUGGACUGCAACUGACACUGAGGCUCGAAAGUGUGGGUAUCAAACAGGAUUAGAUACCCCAGUAGUC
rnacentral:rRNA from 1 species